rnacentral:rRNA from 1 species
GGUGAACGCUGGCGGCGUGCUUAACACAUGCAAGUCGAACGGUGAAGCAGAGCUUGCUCUGUGGAUCAGUGGCGAACGGGUGAGUAACACGUGAGCAACCUGCCCCUGACUCUGGGAUAAGCGCUGGAAACGGCGUCUAAUACUGGAUAUGUGACGUGACCGCAUGGUCUGCGUCUGGAAAGAAUUUCGGUUGGGGAUGGGCUCGCGGCCUAUCAGCUUGUUGGUGAGGUAAUGGCUCACCAAGGCGUCGACGGGUAGCCGGCCUGAGAGGGUGACCGGCCACACUGGAACUGAGACACGGCCCAG